UUAAAGUUGUUGCAGUUAAAAAGCUCGUAGUUGAAUUUCGGGGUCAGUAGGUUGGUCGUGCCACCGGUACGUACUGGUCUCACUGAUUCCUCCUUCCUGAUGAGCCGUAAUGCCAUUAAUUUGGUGUUGCAGGGAAUCUGGACUGUUACUUUGAAAAAAUUAGAGUGUUUAAAGCAGGCUAACGCUUGAAUACAUUAGCAUGGAAUAAUGAAAUAGGACGUUCGAUCCUAUUUUGUUGGUUUCUAGGAUUGACGUAAUGAUUAAUAGGGAUAGUUGGGGGCAUUAGUAUUCAAUUGUCAGAGGUGAAAUUCUUGGAUUUAUUGAAGACUAACUACUGCGAAAGCAUUUGCCAAGGAUGUUUUCAUUAAUCAAGAACGAAAGUUAGGGGAUCGAAGACGAUCAGAUACCGUCGUAGUCUUAACCAUAAACUAUGCCGACUAGGGAUCGGAUGAUGUUAAUUUUUUAA
rnacentral:rRNA from 1 species